AUCACUUCUCAGCCUUUUGGCUAAGAUCAAGUGUAGUAUCUGUUCUUAUCAGUUUAAAAAUCAAGUGAAUAAAUAAUCUGAUGAACAGAAUAAACUGGUGAUUAUAAUAGAAUCAGGGGCAUAGAAAGGGAGUGGAUUGACUAUUC
rnacentral:snRNA from 1 species